GACCAUCUUUGAUCAACGAGCUAGUCAAAAAGAGGCUCACUAGGGACAGUGUGUUGUCUAUGUAUCCACACAUGUAUUUGAGUUUCCAAUCAAUACAAUUCUAGCAUGGAUAAUAAACGAUUAUCAUGAACAACGAAAUAUAAUAAUAACCAAUUUAUUAUUGCCUCUAGGACAUAUUUCCAACAAAGACGGAGGAGAUCGAGGCCGCCGCCGACACUUGCUGUCCCGACGCUCUCCGACCUAAACCUCCGAGCGCUGGAAGUGGAGGAGGAGGAGCACCAGGAAGCAGCGCCGCUGUCCACCCUCCCAACGCCCUCCACGGAAGCUCGUGUGCUACUACGUCGCUUCGCAUCAGCCAUUGUUGUCCGUCCCGCUGCAAUCCGCACCGGCACUAGGUCGCCCGAGGCACUCGGCCUCACCGGCCGUGUUGCAGACCUCCACGUCCACUAGGCCGCCUCCAACCUCCCCUCCUCCUCUGCGGAAGGGUCGCUUGGCCACUGAUGGAGACGAUUGUGGGCGCUGACGUGGAGCAGGACGAGUUGCAGAAAUGUUCUGGGAG
rnacentral:lncRNA from 1 species